rnacentral:rRNA from 1 species
CACGGGGGGAGCAAGCGUUGUUCGGAAUCACUGGGCGUAAAGGGCGUGUAGGCGGUCAGGUAAGUGAGAUGUGAAAUGCCCCGGCUCACCCGGGGACCGGCAUCUCAUACUGCUUGGCUUGAGUACGGGAGAGGAGAGUGGAAUUCCCGGUGUAGCGGUGAAAUGCGCAGAUAUCGGGAAGAACACCCGUGGCGAAGGCGGCUCUCUGGGACGGUACUGACGCUGAGACGCGAAAGCGUGGGGAGCGAACAGG